rnacentral:rRNA from 1 species
CCUACGGGAGGCAGCAGUGAGGAAUAUUGGUCAAUCGGCGCGAGCCUGAACCAGCCAAGUCGCGUGAGGGAUGAAGGUUCUAUGGAUCGUAAACCUCUUUUAUAAGGGAAUAAAGUGUGGGAGGGGUCCUAUUUUGUAGUUACCUUAGGAAUAGGGAUCGGCUAACUCGGUGCAGGCAGCCGCGGUAAUACGGAGGAGCGGAGCGUUAUCCGGAUUUAUUGGGUUUAAGGGGUGCGUAGGCGGCCUUUUAAGUCAGCGGUGAAAGUCUGUGGCUCAACCAUAGAAUUGCCGUUGAAACUGGGGGGCUUGAGUAUGUUUGAGGCAGGCGGAAUGCGUGGUGUAGCGGUGAAAUGCUUAGAUAUCACGCAGAACCCCGAUUGCGAAGGCAGCCUGCCAAGCCAUGACUGACGCUGAUGCACGAAAGCGUGGGGAUCAAACAGGAUUAGAUACCCGUGUAGUC